rnacentral:rRNA from 1 species
GAUGAACGCUAGCGGCAGGCUUAAUACAUGCAAGUCGUGGGGCAGCAGGGUUGUAGCAAUACAAUCGCUGGCGACCGGCAAACGGGUGCGUAACACGUACGCAACCUUCCCGUUACUGUGGCAUAGCCCAGGGAAACUUGGAUUAAUACCACAUAUUAUAUUGGUGAGGCAUCUCAUUGAUAUCAAAGCUUCGGCGGUAACGGAUGGGCGUGCGGUUGAUUAGGUAGUUGGCGGGGUAACGGCCCACCAAGCCUACGAUCAAUAGCUGAUGUGAGAGCAUGAUCAGCCAAACGGGCAAUGAGAAACGGGCCCGACUCCUACGGGAGGCAGCAGUAAGGAAUAUUGGGCAAUGGACGAAAGUCUGACCCAGCCAUGCCGCGUGAAGGAUUAAGGUCCUCUGGAUUGUAAACUUCUUUUCUCUGGGGCGAAAACCAGCUAUUCUUAGCUAUUUGACAGUACCAGAGGAAUAAGCACCGGCUAACUCCGUGCCAGCCGCCGCCGUAACAC